rnacentral:rRNA from 1 species
CAAUAGCGUAUAUUAAAGUUGUUGCAGUUAAAAAGCUCGUAGUUGGAUUUGUGGCGUACGGUGUGUUCCGGGCACUUGUUGUCUGAGUAACCUGCCGUUGCCAUCCUUGGGUGGAACCUGUGUGGCAUUAGGUUGUCGUGCAGGGGAUGCCCAUCAUUUACUGUGAAAAAAUUAGAGUGUUCAAAGCAGGCUUAUGCCGUUGAAUAUAUUAGCAUGGAAUAAUGAGAUAGGACUUUUUUGCUAUUUUGUUGGUUUGCGCAAAGAGGUAAUGAUUAAUAGGGACAGUUGGGGGUAUUCGUAUUCCAUUGUCAGAGGUGAAAUUCUUGGAUUUUUGGAAGACGAACUACUGCGAAAGCAUUUACCAAGGAUGUUUUCAUUAA